CUGGGACACGCCCCCAACAGGGCAGAUUUCCUGGACCCUCCAGGCAGGACAAUUCAGGAACGCUGAAAAUCGCCGUGGAGACCCUGCUCCAACUCCGUCUAUGUCAGCUAGUUAACACUCGGGAGUGCUGACUAUAUGGGAGAAGAGGAAUGUGAGGAUCCAGCUCCUUCUGGCCCCUGGACUCCCUGAAAGCUUCCGCAGGACAAGGCAUCAGGAGGAAAAAAGCGGGUAACCUGCCAUGUCUGGAGCCCCUACAACAUUUACAGGUAGCUCAUUAACAAAAAGUCUAAAACCUGGCAUUUACUGAGCAUUUAAGGAAAGCCUGACACUGUGUUAAGUUCUUUUAUACUCUACUUGAUCCAGUUAUUUAUCAGGUGUUAUAAUCACCAUUUUGCAAAUUAGAAAGUGAGAUUCAAUGAGAAUACAUGAUUUACCCAAGUUAACAAGAGUCAGAAAUUGAUGGAAAUAAAAACUAGUUCUGACUGUAGGGCCUGUGUUCUUAACCAUACCCACCACUAUGCUGGCUUUCUCUCUCUCUCCUUACAGUGGACUGGCCCCUGGCAAAGUGGAGUCCCUCGUCAAGGGGACGUUCUACAACCCGGUCCCAGUGCAAAACUGCCCUGCUCUUCUCUCUCCUGAAUUCAACAGGGUUUACAAGGUCUUCUUACUUCUCUGGUGUCUUCCAAAUCUUAAACCUGUACUGUAGUUUAAGUCAUCUUCCAAAUCCACAAACUUGACUUCACUGUCUUGCUCAAAACCUUUCAAUGGCUUAUC